rnacentral:lncRNA from 1 species
GGUCUUUCUGUGUGGCCUAGGCUGAUCUUGAUCUCGCAAUCCUCCUGCCUCAGCCUCUGCAGCAAAGCGUAAAGUUCUGAUGCAUGCAGUAGUGUGCAUGAACUCUGAGACAUCAUGCCAAGAGGAACAAGCCAUACGCAAAGGACCACGUAGUGUAUGGUUCCAUUUAUAGGAAAUGCCCAAACCGAGCAAAGCCAUGGGACAGAUAGGUGUUGAGUUGGCACCUAGUUAACGUGCUGGUGGUAUAACACGUGGAGAUACACAAGCUUUCGAUGGGACUUUACACAUGUACACACAGAAAAGGAGGAGAGAAAGCAGAAUUCUGUCUUCAAUUAGCUUGGUGGACAGACAGCCUGUGUGCUCCUUUCUGAGAGAUUCAGGUUAAAACUGGAGUCAGACCAUCUGUGUUCAAAUCCCAGCUGGGCUGCUCCUCACUUUGUACUUUUCCCAGGCUUGUUGUAUGGCUGAAAUGUGGCAGUGCCGGGAGAGGCCUGAGGAGGGCAGGACAUGUGAGUCCAGAGCCCCAGUGUGCUACAAGAGAACAGUGCUCAGUCAUCUACAGUAUCCAACCCCCUGCUGUGGGGGCAGCUCAGGCAGAGGUCUUUAUGCCUCUUUGCAAAUGGCUCCAGGAGAUCAUUUACCAACUCCUGCUGACCCUCCACUCAACACCAGACAGUUCAUUU